rnacentral:pre_miRNA from 1 species
CUUGUAGUCCCUCCGUCCGAAAAUACUUGUCAUUGAAAUGGAUGUAUCUAGAUGUAUUUUAGUUCUAGACACAUCCAUUUUGAUGACAAGUAAUUCCGGACGGAGGGAGUACUUG